rnacentral:rRNA from 1 species
AACGAACGCUGGCGGCGUGCCUAACACAUGCAAGUCGAACGCGAAAAGCAGUAAUGCUGAGUAGAGUGGCGCACGGGUGCAUAACACGUAACUGACCUGUCCUCGAGAUCGGGAUAACCAUUCGAAAGGAUGGCUAAUACCGGAUAAGCCCACGGCCUUGGGGCUGAGGGAAAAGUUUGGGACCCUUCGGGGCCAAGCACUUGAGGAGGGGGUUGCGGCCCAUCAGGUAGUUGGCGAGGUAACGGCUCACCAAGCCUAAGACGGGUAGCUGGUCUGAGAGGAUGAUCAGCCACACUGGAACUGAGACACGGUCCAGACUCCUACGGGAGGCAGCAGUGGGGAAUCUUGCGCAAUGGGAGCAAUCCUGACGCAGCAACGCCGCGUGGGUGAUGAAGGUCUUCGGAUCGUAAAGCCCUGUCGGAGGGGAAGAUGCCUGUCAUGGCUAACAGUCAUGGGAGGUGACGGUACCCUCAAAGGAAGCACCGGCUAACUCUGUGC